UAUAAGAAAAUAGUCUGUGAAGAAAAAUAGAGUGUGAGCGAUAUUUUAGUAAGACGGAAACCAAAAGAGUGUUGUUCCUUUUGAGUGUGUAGUAGUCACAUUGAGUGUUGUAUUCCGUGACUACACAGUGCAAAAUUCUUUACUAUAGUAAUAUCAGUUGCUCCUCUUGGCCCGUGGUUUUUUCCCUUAUUCAGAAGGGUUUCCACGUAAAAUUUUUGGUGUCGUUAUUUUCUCAUUUUAUUUCCAUUACUUUUACCAUAUAUUCUUUUGUGCUUGUCCGCGUUUUCCCAACAAACUGGUACCAAAGCCAAGGUUUUAUCUGAGUAUGCUCUAUGGUUGCAACACAAUCUGAACUUCCACAUUAGACAGGAAAGAAUCUUCAAAUAAACAAGUUGACUCUCUAAAAAGUGGAGUCAUGUCUUCAAACAAUGAACUUGUUGUCGGGGUCUCUUACUCCAUUCUUUCUAGAGCACUCCAACAAUUCCUUUUAUGUAAAGAUCAUCAACACCCACAAGUACUUUUUGGGCGAUCGUUGAAUAUCUAACCUUGGGUCAUUUAUUUUUUUUCUACUACUACUUUUGAACUAAUCUUUAAACUGAAGGGGGAGAUUUGUUCCCACAAUUUUCACAAAAGACAGGGGGAGCUUCAACAAACCAUAAAGGCAUGGGAAGCUACAAAUUAAAGUGGAACAUACAACAAUACAUUUCAGGGAAAAUGGGGAAGCUCCAUUAUAUUAAAUUGUGAAUUAAUUAUCAUCACAAAAAAUGGGGGAUUGUUAACCUCAUCAAACAAGCUAAAUUAGAUAAACGACUCUUAAAAAUAUAUGUACCCUUUGUAGGAAAAAAAUCAAAAAGAAAAGGAGUCAAGCAUGCACAAUCUGAUAUCCAACGGAAGAUAGGAAAACCACGAUUAGAAGAAUUACAAAUUAAUUCAAGACUCAAUCCCAAAAACAUUUGAUUAAGCAUGGACAGUCAUCAGCAAUCCAAACCAAGAAUCAAGGAAGCUAUCAAGAGAAGGAAGAGAUUCAAAUCAAGCUAGGAUUCGAGAAGAUCAUCUUGAGAAGGAAGGAGUGAUCAUAAACAUAUCCAAUAUGGACAUGAAUCAACAAAUCACCUCAAUCAAGGAAGGUCUGAUUAUGCACAUAUUUAAUGUGGACGUGAACCACCAAAUCACCUCAAUCCAUCUGUCAUUAUUCGUGAUUGAGAGACACACCCUUGGGUUUUUUCAUACAAGAGUAAACAAACCACCUAUCUAUAUAAACCUCCUUGGCCAUAGUUGUGAAAUACACACUUCACUUAAAGUUGUAUUAUUGUCUUCUUUUAUAUUUUAUAAAAGCAUUAUAUUCUCUUAAGUAAACAACUUAAAAAGGGAAGAGAAAGAAAGAUCAAAGUGUAGGUUAUACAAGUAGAGGUUGUGUCAAAGUAGAAUGGUCGUAUGUGUAUAUCAGACAUGGCUCCAAGUCGAACUAGUUUGUAAACACCAAGGUCUCAACAAGAUCUUACGAAAGCCCUUGAAACCCAAGGUUAUUGGAGUAUAAUAUUAUCUGAGUCCUUUAUUUA